GAGGAAACUUCAAAGAAUUGAAGAGAAUACUACGCACAAGAAACUAUCAAAAAAUGUGAUCACAUUUCACUGGACGGCACCAAGGAAUAAUACUUCCAGAAAGGUUAUCCAUGUUUGAAUGUUUAUAACAGCUAUAUUGAAAUACACCCAAGAUGGAACCCGAAUGCUCAGCUCCAAAAGUAAUUAAAUUACAAGAACUGAAUGUUAAUGUUUGACCAGGAAGACUUUGUACUUGACAGGCGUAAUUUAAUUUACCUUUAUGUAAUUAUUUGCAGCGCUGAAGUUCAUGGGUUUUUUUUGCAUCUCAUUGGACGAGAGUGUGAAAGGGCUACGGCUCCAAGCGGUG